CCUANGGGGGGCAGCAGUAGGGAAUAUUGCUUAAUCUGCGAAAGCGGGAAGCAGCAACGCCGCGUGUGCGAUGACGGCCUUCGGGUUGUAAAGCACUUUUGGAAGGGAUGAGGAAGGACAGUACCUUUCGAAUAAGCCUCGGCUAACUACGUGCCAGCAGCCGCGGUAACACGUAGGAGGCGAGCGUUAUCCGGAUUUACUGGGCGUAAAGCGCGUGCAGGCGGUACGGUAAGUUGGAUGUGAAAGCUCCUGGCUCAACUGGGAGAGGUCGUUCAAAACUACCGAACUUGAGUAUGGGAGGGGAGGUGGAAUUCCGGGUGUAGUGGUGAAAUGCGUAGAUAGCCGGAGGAACACCAGUGGCGAAAGCGGCCUCCUGGCCCAUUACUGACGCUCAGACGCGAAAGCUAGGGGAGUGAACGGGAUUAGAUACCCCGNUAGUC
rnacentral:rRNA from 1 species